CAGCCUGUCUCAUUCUGUUUCAUGGAUGCCUUGUUUUCUUGCGGUCCCUUGUGGUUUCUUGUUUUUGGACUGAUAUUAUGGUUAUGACCUCUUGCCUGUUUUGGAUAUUGAUUUUUGGAUUACCCAUUAUAACACUGCACUUGUUUCUCUGGCUUCCUGUGUUCCAUCGUUACAAAUAGUAGAAAUCAUACCCAUCCUUGCAGGGUUGCCUUUUAGAAAACAGAACCAGGAAAUCCCGAUUUUUGCUUCUUUGACUGUGGUGCAUUUAAUGUGAUAAAUAGUUUCCUUCUCAUCUGCUUUCUCAACCUCUUCACAGCUCCUGGAGGACACAUGGAAGGAUGGUUGGCGAGCAGCCAGAAAACAUGAAAAGCUGUUGUUUUGACCUUCAUCUCAACUUUUAAACCCUGCAUAUCAGCAUCCUCGUGCACAUUGACUCCUACCUGCAAAACACAGCUAUUUGGACUCCCAUUCUGACGGCACCCAUUCACUGCAGAGGUUGUUGAGCAAGUGAUGGUGCAUCCUACAGACUCCUCAAACUGGAUGUUAUCCAUGGAAGCCAUGACACAUGCCAUUCCUACAUGUCUUUCAGCUUAAAGGAAGAAAUGAAGAAAAAAGACUUAUAAUAUGAACUGCUAAAUGAACCUUUAAAGAUGGGUACACACUUAUUGUACAAAUUUGCUUGUAAUGGUUAUUUAUAUUUCAUGUGUUUAACUGGAGCAGAAACAGAAAGGAGAUAUAAGAGAGGACGCCUGUAAAUCAUUGUUGUGUACCGUCCUCAAGCCACGUUUCUUCACUAAUGGAGAAAUAUGGAUUCACACAAGAUUUGUGGGUAAAAGGGGGAUUGAUGCUAGUUACCUUUCUCAUCCAUGGGUUGAUAAAACACUAGGUUGUUUUGGGAAAAGGACAUUUUUUUUUUUUUUUUAACAAUAAAUUGAAUAAUGAUCAUA